rnacentral:rRNA from 1 species
UACGUAGGGUGCGAGCGUUAAUCGGAAUUACUGGGCGUAAAGCGUGCGCAGGCGGUUAUGUAAGUCAGAUGUGAAAUCCCCGGGCUUAACCUGGGAACUGCAUUUGAGACUGCAUGGCUAGAGUGCGUCAGAGGGGGGUGGAAUUCCACGUGUAGCAGUGAAAUGCGUAGAGAUGUGGAGGAACACCGAUGGCGAAGGCAGCCCCCUGGGAUGACACUGACGCUCAUGCACGAAAGCGUGGGGAGCGAACAGG